rnacentral:lncRNA from 1 species
GAUGCGCUUUGACGAGAUCUUCUUGAAGACAGACCUGGACCUUGAUGGCUAUGUGAGUGGCCAGGAAGUUAAGGAGAUCUUCAUGCACUCAGGCCUCACACAGAACCUUCUAGCACACAUCUGGGCCCUGGCCGAUACAAGACAAACGGGCAAGUUAAGCAAAGAGCAAUUUGCGCUAGCAAUGUAUUUCAUUCAGCAGAAGGUCAGUAAAGGCAUCGACCCUCCUCAAGUCCUCUCGCCUGACAUGGUGCCACCCUCGGAGAGAGGCACUCCCAUUCCAGACAGUUCAAGUGCUCUUGGGUCAGGAGAGUUCACUGGUGUGAAAGAGCUGGAUGACAUCAGCCAGGAGAUCGCACAGCUGCAGAGAGAGAAAUAUUCACUGGAACAAGACAUCAGAGAAAAGGAAGAGGCAAUCAGACAGAAAGCCAGCGAAGUACAGGAAUUACAAAAUGACCUGGACCGAGAAACUAGUAGUCUGCAGGAACUUGAGGCUCAGAAACAGGAUGCUCAGGACCGCCUGGAUGAGAUGGACCAGCAGAAGGCUAAGCUGCGGGACAUGCUGAGUGACGUGCGGCAGAAAUGCCAGGAUGAGACCCAGACGAUCUCAUCAUUGAACGCUCCUCCACGGCCCAAACCGCCCAGCGUUUGGCAAUGAGGAGCAGCAGCUGGCCUGGGCCAAACGGGAGAGUGAGAAAGCGGAGCAGGAGCGGCUGGCGAGGCUUCGGCGACAGGAACAGGAGGACCUGGAGCUGGCCAUCGCCCUCAGCAAGGCCGAUAUGCCGGCCUAGGUGACACAGGGGAAGCCGCAGCUGUCUGUAUGUCCACAUCAUGCUCAGAGCGUGCCCCCUUCAAGCCAAGCCAUGCCACAGCCAAGGACAGCUGGCCACAGGGCCUCAGGCCACAGGGACCUUGUUGAGAGGUAGCAGACACAGCCCACGCCUGUGGGUGGGCCAGGAAGGCAGCCUUCGGUAAAAGGCCUGGAACCUGCCUGUCUCUGAGGUGUCAGUCAGGCUCUUCCUUCCAAUCAUUCAGUGACUGACGGAGAAGGCCUCCAGUCUCCUAGCUACAGACAAGCUCCACCCCAACCCUUCCUCACAUCCACAAGACACCCUGCACACAUGAUGUAUGCAUUCGUUGUAUAAAAAUGAAGUUUGAAUGAUUAAUAUAAAAUAUUUUAAUAC